rnacentral:rRNA from 1 species
GAUGAACGCUGGCGGCGUGCCUAAUACAUGCAAGUCGAGCGAACAGACGAGGAGCUUGCUCCUCUGACGUUAGCGGCGGACGGGUGAGUAACACGUGGAUAACCUACCUAUAAGACUGGGAUAACUUCGGGAAACCGGAGCUAAUACCGGAUAAUAUAUUGAACCGCAUGGUUCAAUAGUGAAAGACGGUUUUGCUGUCACUUAUAGAUGGAUCCGCGCCGCAUUAGCUAGUUGGUAAGGUAACGGCUUACCAAGGCGACGAUGCGUAGCCGACCUGAGAGGGGGGUCGCCCCACACGGAAAUGAAAAACGGUCCAACACCCCACGGGGGGCAAGAGGAGGGAAGUUUCCGGAAGGGGGAAAAGCCGGCGGGACAAACGCCGCGGGGGGGAAGAAGGUCUUCGGAUCGUAAAACCUUUUUUUUGGGGAAAAAAAAAUGUGGAAGUAACUAAGCCCGUUUUGGCGGGACCAAAUCAGAAAGCCACGGCUAACUACGU